AUCGCUCCCCCUGCCCGGCACUCGGCGCUUCUCAGCGCAUUUAAACGAAACUUCCCCCUAGCCAAGGCAGAGGUGACUGGGGACCCUCGCCUCCGGCUUUCCUCUCUAGAGAAGCCUGAACGUGUUUGGGCAGUGACAGGAGCUGAGGUGUUAUUUUCUGAAUAUUGGCAGCAGCGAUGAGGAUGGACUCUGGGCUGUUAUGAUUAAUAUGGAUUGAUCCAGUGUGAACUUUUAAUUGACAUCUCCGGAGGCUGAAAUCUUCCUGUUGAGGCAGAGCCUUGCAGAUGGUUUGGUUCAGAGCCACAGAAGCCAUUGCAUUGAUGCCUGUGAGAGCAGAUGCAGAGCCCCGUGUGAAAAAUGCGUAUUUUAUGAUUGGCUUUUUGCAAAUAUUAAAAUGGAUAUUGUAUGUGUUGUGUU